GCGGGGUGGAGCAGCCUGGUAGCUCGUCGGGCUCAUAACCCGAAGGUCGUUGGUUCAAAUCCAGCCCCCGCU
rnacentral:tRNA from 1 species